GGGGAAAGGCGGGGCUGUGGGGACCAAAGGAGAGAAAAGGGAGAUGAGAGGGCGAGAGGGAACAGCUUCCCGGGAGCUGCCCCAGGGACCGCACAGGGAAAGGCUGCGCUAGAGCAACGAACCUGGUGUUUUUCAAGGACCCGAAGGCGUGCGGUGAAGCCAUGAAGCGCCUGCUGAUCUCCCUGGCCUUCUGGCUGGGCGUGGUGGGCAUACACGGGACGGAGCUGGAGCUCAGCGAGACACAGCGCAGGGGGUUACAGGUGGCCCUGGAGGAGUUCCACAAACACCCACCCGUGCAGUGGGCCUUCCGAGAGAUCGGGGUGGACAGCGCUGACGAUACGCUCUACUCAGCCGGCACCUUUGUGAAGUUGGAAUUUAAGCUCCAGCAGACCAGCUGCCUCAAGAAGGACUGGAAAAACCCCGAGUGCAAAACCAAACCAAACGGGAGAAAGCGGAAAUGCCUGGCCUGCAUCAAAUUGGACCCCAAGGGUAAAGUUCUGGGCCGGAUGGUCCACUGUCCGAUACUGAGGCAAGGGCCUCAGGCACCGCUGCAGCACCCUGGUCCUGGCAGGAGCCUCAGGAGGUCCAGUGCACUAAGGUAGAACAGGCUGGCGAGGACCCCCGCAGCUACUUCUUCCCUGGACAGUUUGCCUUCUCCAGGUCCCGGCAGCCCAAAUAAGCCCUGCACAGAACUCCAUCUUCCUGUGCAGCUGUGGCAGCAGCCAGUGGAAGCACACCGGCUCCCAAAGACGAAAUAUUCCAAGCUAAUAAAAUUGCUGAGUCUGUUCAUUUCCAA